rnacentral:tRNA from 1 species
GGGAGCGUAACUCAACGGUAGAGGGCUUGCCUCUUAAGCAAGUGGUUAGAGGUUCGAUUCCUCUCGCUCCCACCA